CGUAGUUGGAUCUCAGUUACAGACGGGCGGUCCACUUUACGGUGGCUACUGCCCGGCCUGAACGUCCUGCCGGUUUUUCUCUAGGUGCUCUUCAUUGAGUGUCUAGAGUGGCCGGCACGUUUACUUUGAAAAAAUUAGAGUGCUCAAAGCAGGCGUGACGCCUGAAUAAUGGUGCAUGGAAUAAUGGAAUAGGACCUCGGUUCUAUUGUGUUGGUUUUCGGAACACGAGGWAAUGAUUAAGAGGGACAGACGGGGGCAUUCGUAUUGCGACGYUAGAGGUGAAAUUCUUGGACCGUCSMAAGACRAACUACUGCGAAAGCAUUUGCCAAGAAUGUUUUCAUUAAUCAAGAACGAAAGUUAGAGGUUCGAAGGCRAUCAAAUMCCGCCCUAKUUCUAACCAUAAACGAUGCUGACCAGCGAUCCGCCUGAGUUUCUCAAUUGACUCGGCGGGCAGCUUCCGGRAAACCAAAGUU
rnacentral:rRNA from 1 species